UACGUAGGGUGCAAGCGUUGUCCGGAAUCAUUGGGCGUAAAGAGCUUGUAGGCGGUUUGUCGCGUCUGCUGUGAAAUUUCGGGGCUCAACCCCGAACUUGCAGUGGGUACGGGCAGACUAGAGUGUGGUAGGGGAGACUGGAAUUCCUGGUGUAGCGGUGAAAUGCGCAGAUAUCAGGAGGAACACCGAUGACGAAGGCAGGUCUCUGGGCCACUACUGACGCUGAGAAGCGAAAGCAUGGGGAGCGAACAGG
rnacentral:rRNA from 1 species